UUGCAGCCUAUAAACAAACAGGAUGUGUGACCCUUGUUGUGGACCCUUUGAGCCCAGGGGCUGUCGCAGUCGCGAGCUGCGUUGCGGCAUUCUCUAUACAACCUGCGACUGCGUUAAGCGCAAUGGACUUCAGGAUAAAUGCCCGCGCGCAGCCUGCCAGGGACGUCCUGCCUGCAUGUGCUUUCCGUUCCCCUCCUGCGGCCCCGCCUCGUUUCCGCUGCGCUUCGCCAACAUGACCAUGGGCGUCAAUAACAAGCGCAUGCGUUGCGCCGCAACGGCCGCAACCUGCGCCGGCGGCGGUGGCUUGUCACGCGCCUGCGGUGGCUGUUGCGGUGGUGGUGGUGGCGGCUGCGGCGGCGGCUGCGGACCCUGCGGCGGUGGCGGCGGCUGCUGUGGCCCAUGUGGUGGCUGUCCUUGUCCCGCACGCUAUUUGGUUAAUAAGGACUGUGCGCCCUGUGUUUGGUGUGCGCCAUGCAAAGCUCACUGCUACAACACACCGCCCAAGUGCUGCUGCUAGCCAAGGGCGCGCGCACCAAACCACAAAUAUACCCUCGCUAUUUAGUAUGUUAGUAGGGCUGCUCCAAUAGUUCACAAACUGAUGCUGCGGCUUCUGAUGCACAAGCGCUCAUCUCUCGUCGAUGCGGCAGCGUGAAGGAAGACGCAGUAGUUGGCAAAGUUUGGUGUUGUUUAUUAUAACGAUGCGUUUAACUAAAAAGAAACCAAAAAAAAAAACAAAACGCCAGGGAGCCACACAUUU